rnacentral:rRNA from 1 species
UACGUAGGGUGCGAGCGUUAAUCGGAAUUACUGGGCGUAAAGCGUGCGCAGGCGGUUCGCUAAGACCGAUGUGAAAUCCCCGGGCUCAACCUGGGAACUGCAUUUGUGACUGCAUGGCUGGAGUGCGGCAGAGGGGGAUGGAAUUCCGCGUGUAGCAGUGAAAUGCGUAGAUAUGCGGAGGAACACCGAUGGCGAAGGCAAUCCCCUGGGCCUGCACUGACGCUCAUGCACGAAAGCGUGGGGAGCAAACAGG